GAAAGGACUGCUAAUACCCCAUAUGCUCUUGAGAAUUAGAACCUCAUUAGUAACGGCCGAAAGGCGCUUUGGGAGGGGCCUGCGUCCCAUCAGCUAGUUGGUAAGGUAACGGCUUACCAAGGCGAUGACGGGUAGGGGACCUGAGAGGGUGGCCCCCCACAAUGGAACUGAAACACGGUCCAUACACCUACGGGUGGCAGCAGUAGGGGAUAUUGGUAAUCUGCGAAAGCGGGAACCAGCAACGCCGCGUGUGCGAUGAAGGCCUUCGGGUUGUAAAGCACUUUUGACCGGGACGAGGAAGGACGGUACCGGUCGAAUAAGCCUCGGCUAACUACGUGCCAGCAGCCGCGGUAAAACGUAGGAGGCGAGCGUUAUCCGGAUUUACUGGGUGUAAAGCGCAUGCAGGCGGUUGUGUAAGUUCGGUGUGAAAGCUCCUGGCUCAACUGGGAGAGGUCGCUGAAGACUGCACGACUUGAGGGUGGUAGGGGAAGGCGGAAUUCCGGGUGUAGUGGUGAAAUGCGUAGAUAUCCGGAGGUACACCAGUGGCGAAGGCGGCCUUCUGGACCACAACUGACGCUCAGAUGCGAAAGCUAGGGGAGCAAACGGGAUUAGAGACCCCGGUAGUCCUAGCCGUAAACGAUGUGAACUUGGCGCCUGGGGGGUAAAACCCUUGGGUGCCGGAGCUAACGCGAUAAGUUCACCACCUGGGGACUACGGCCGCAAGGUUA
rnacentral:rRNA from 1 species